rnacentral:rRNA from 1 species
UACAGAGGUGGCAAGCGUUGUUCGGAAUUACUGGGCGUAAAGGGCGCGUAGGCGGCCCUCUUAGUCGGACGUGAAAUCCCCAGGCUUAACUUGGGAACUGCGUCCGAUACUGGAGGGCUCGAGUGCGGGAGAGGGAUGUGGAAUUCCAGGUGUAGCGGUGAAAUGCGUAGAUAUCUGGAGGAACACCGGUGGCGAAGGCGGCAUCCUGGACCGACACUGACGCUGAGUGCGCGGAAAGCUAGGGGAGCAAACGGG